GCUGGAGAGGGCUCAGUGAUUAAGAGCACUGGCUAUUCUUCCAGAGGAUCUAGGUUCAAUUCCUAGCACCCACA
rfam:Mus musculus chromosome 1, GRC primary reference assembly.